GUCCUCUCUUCAGCAGCACAUACACUAAAGUUGGAAUGACACAGAGAAAGUUAGCACAGCACCUGCAUGGGGAUGACACUCAAAUUCGUGACGCGUUCCUUAUUUGG
rnacentral:snRNA from 1 species